GUUUAUUUGGUUCAGUUCAUUUACUUUUCAAAACAAUCUGUAAAUGGUGUUGUGGUUGUAACUUAUCUCUGAUACCACUUUAAACUGUCACGCCCCGGGGUCCCUUUAGGUUAAAAACACAGCGGAAAAUUUUUUUUUUUUUGAAAAUCUGACCCCAGAGUAUGCCAGAUCCGCCACAAAUACAGAAAAUUCACUGUUCACACGGACAGAAUCUCCCCUGUAUUUGCAAGGCGUCGCACAAGUACAAAAGUACAACCAGGAUACAACCACAACUAGAUGAAUAUAAAGAUAACUAUACAUUCAUACAUUCACCAUUCACAUCACAGAUUUGCAUUCAGUGUUUAAACAUAAUCAACAACUAUUAGUUAAAAUAUUUCCAACCACAGAAACAGAUUUUGAAAUUCUAAGAUACAAAAUCCACAAAAAAUCUUUUGAAAAUGGUUCCCUACACAAGAACUUUUAUCUUUUUAAAAACGCUACCACGAGGGGUAGAAAACCUUUUAUUUUACAAAAUUCACAAACCAGUUUAUUACAUUCAUGAAAACCCAUAUUUUCAAAUAUAAUAAAAAUACUGAACCAUAUAAACUAUCUAAGCUAUAACAACAGAACAGUAAGGGUAAAAACUAAACCGAUAACCUGGGUCGGAAGCUCUAGCGACCACUACGAACGUACCUCGCGUCUCAUCUCAACUCUCACUGCCCGCGAUACCUGAAAAAU
rnacentral:lncRNA from 1 species